CACAAUAAUUACUUCAUCCAUUUUUAUUUGAUGAUGUUUUAAGUUAGAAUAGAUGCGUUGAAUUUCAUAAAUUUGAUCCAUUAUAGAUCUAAAAUCCACCAUCUUAUAAUCAUUAAAGUCCUGAACUUAAAGACUAUAAUUCAUAAACUAUUUUAAAAUUAAUAUGUAAACUAUUUUUGUUACAAUGGUUAGCUGUACCAAAGUAUAGCUAGAGUAUCAUCCAACAUCUUUGCAGGUUUGGUAAGUAAAUUAACUAAAAUGAUUACUCUUUAUUCAGAAAUGAAAGCAAAACUGCCAUUCUCGCCUCCUAUCUUUGAUCAUCUUUGGUGGCUCUCAGCCUUGCCGUCAAGUGCCGUCAAAUUCCCAUCGAAUGUAACCGAGCAAUUUGUUAAUUUGGUAAGUAAAUUUAUUAUCAAUUUUUUCACGCCUCCUGUCAAUCUUUUCAUGCCUCCUGUUUCUCAUAUGGUUUCUUGGAAGAUUGGAGGUGGAAGCCAAGAGUUGUAGAGAUGCGUUUCUUAUACUUUUUGAUUCUCAGAUUUGAGAUUUUGAGGAAUUGUUGGAAAGGAACCCAUCUCUACUGAAUGGAUUGAUGAAAAGAAAAUCUUGUAUCUAAAGUCUAAUGAAAUUUCAUUUCUAGACCAAGUUUACGGCUCAAUGGAUAGUAAAGCAUCCUUCACACAUGAUAUCAUCCAAGCAGAAUACAUUUCGUGCAGCUGAUUAGGUUACACUUUAUUUUAUACUUUUUCAAUAUAUUUUUUCUCCUUUAUUGGAUUUAUGAUUUCUAAAAUAAUGCAUAAUGCACAAGCCUAUCCUCAAUGUAUGUUAUAUAUAUAAACCUCUCUCCUUCCUUUGAAAUGUGCAUCUUUUUAGUGCAUUGUACAGUACAAAUAAUAAGGUACUAAAACCUUUUAUUGAGAUCA